rnacentral:rRNA from 1 species
UACAGAGGGUGCUAGCGUUAUUCGGAAUUACUGGGCGUAAAGCGCAUGUAGGUGGAAUACCAAGUCAGAUGUGAAAUCCCGGGGCUUACCUUCGGAACUGCAUUUGAAACUGGUGUUCUUGAGUUUGGGAGAGGGAAGCGGAAUUCCAGGUGUAGAGGUGAAAUUCGUAGAUAUCUGGAGGAACAUCGGAGGCGAAGGCGGCUUCCUGGUCCAAUACUGACACUCAGAUGCGAAAGCGUGGGUAGCAAACAGG